GACGAACGCUGGCGGCGUGCUUAACACAUGCAAGUCGAACGGUAAGGCCCUUCGGGGUACACGAGUGGCGAACGGGUGAGUAACACGUGGGUGAUCUGCCCUGCACUCUGGGAUAAGCCUGGGAAACUGGGUCUAAUACCGGAUAUGAGCUCCUGUCGCAUGGCGGGGGUUGGAAAGGUUUACUGGUGCAGGAUGGGCCCGCGGCCUCUCAGCUUGUUGGUGGGGUAAUGGCCUACCAAGGCGACGACGGGUAGCCGGCCUGAGAGGGCGACCGGCCACACUGGGACUGAGCAACGGCCCAGACUCCUCCGGGAGGCAGCAGUGGUGAAUAUUGGACAAUGGGCGCAAGCCUGAUCCAGCCAUGCCGCGUGAGUGAUGACGGCCUUAGGGUUGUAAAGCUCUUUCGCUCGGGACGAUAAUGACGGUACCGAGAUAAGAAGCCCCGGGUUUUUGUCUGGGGUGACGGUAGGUGGAGAAGAAGCACCGGCCAACUACGUGCCAGCAGCCGCCGUAAAAC
rnacentral:rRNA from 1 species